rnacentral:lncRNA from 10 species
GAGAGUGCAGUCAAGCCAGUUGGGCACUGAGUCAGAAUUAGACCUACAGUCUCCCUGGAACUUGUGCAUCCCCCACCCUUCUCCCUGUCUUGGCUUCCUGUUGUCCACAUGAGUCACCAGCUGCUGCCAUCCUCUGGAAGAAGGGAAAAGAAAAAGUGGAGCACAGAAAUGAAAGAAAGGAUAAAAGGAAAAGAAAGGGAAGGAGAGGUGUUCUGGAAGUGCCUACCUGGUUCAGAAGGAGACAGCUGAAAUCAAGCCAAUGGAGGUGUCUGAGCCAGUCAGAGCCUUGGCCUUGCUCUGACCCACAGCCACAAUCCAACAUGAAGAUGGUUCAAGAGACCUUAGACCAGGGAAGUGCCUUCCAAAGCCAAAUACAGGAGCAUGAGAGAAGCUGUGUCGUGAUGGACCGCACCCAUCCUUCCCACUCUGUGUUCUCUUUGUCCUGACUUUAUUGAUGGGGUGAGGUGGACUUCUUGUAAAUCCAUCAGAAAGAUAUCUGAAGCAUACCUCGGGGUAUAUAUUAAAUCUAAGAACCUGAUGUCCUUUUACUGCUGCCCCUGAAUAAAAAUUAUGCAUCUGUUUCCGCACUUGACCAUGUCUCAGAUUUGCUGAUUUUCUUUGCUUAUGCUCAUCUUGCCAAGUUUUGAGGGAAUGGGCACUUCUCCGAGGCAGUGAAAGUCUCCUGAGAAAUAAUUAAUCCAUGAAUUGUUCACUUGAGAGAGUAACUGUGAACCCAGCAGCAUGCUCUUAUGCAGCCUCCUGAAUUUAAAAGCCUGUGCUUAGCACAGGUGCAUCGUGUGGCUUCAUGUGAUGUGUGCUACUCAGGGAACUCACUUGCUCUACAAACAUUACCAAGCACCCACUAUGUGAAAGCUCGGUGCUUGGGAGGUGCUAGGGAGACUCCCAAAGCCAGAGCACAGAGUUGGUGGCAUAGCAGUAAGGACAGCUGCUGUCCAAAGACACAGCAUGCUCCAUAACAAAGGAGGAAGAGGGUUUCGGGAAGAUGAGCAACAGCCUGGACUCUGGAGCCAGACAGACCCGGGCUUUUACCCACCACCAGCUUCGCCACUGCACAGCCAGGGAUUUUACACAUUACCAAGCCCCCGCUAAGCCUUGCUUUCUUCCUCUCUGAAAUGGAGAGAAAUGCAAGACUGUUGCAAAGUUUAAGUGAGCAAAUGAAAGCGAAGUGUUCCACCAGUGUCCAAUGUAUUAAAUGAAUAAUGACUACUCCCAGCACCUGAAUUUAGCUGGGCUAUUUUAUUUAAGGUAUGUCUCAGUGCAUGGCUGUAUUAAAAAAAAAACAGUUUCUCCCACAGAAAGCUUUGGAACAAAUGUCUUGUCUGAAUGUGCCGUAAGGAGGUGAAGAGAUUGCAUUCUACAAUUAAGAGCAAGCAGGGCUCCCCAACCAUUCUCUUUACUCCUCUCCCUCCCGCAAAUCCCACACCUCAUGCAAUGACCCCACCUCUCUACUUUUCAUAAGUCCUCCUCCAACUCCUCACCUGACUCUCCCACUCUUCUCCUCACUCCCAAAC